UACGAAGGGUGCAAGCGUUAUUCGGAAUUACUGGGCGUAAAGCGUGCGUAGGUGGUUCGUUAAGUCUGAUGUGAAAGCCCUGGGCUCAACCUGGGAAUGGCAUUGGAAACUGGCGACCUAGAGUGCGGUAGAGGGUAGUGGAAUUCCCGGUGUAGCAGUGAAAUGCGCAGAUAUCAGGAAGAACACCGAUGGCGAAGGCAGGUCUCUGGGCUGACACUGACGCUCAGGCACGAAAGCGUGGGGAGCAAACAGG
rnacentral:rRNA from 1 species